rnacentral:rRNA from 1 species
GAUGAACGCUAGCUACAGGCUUAACACAUGCAAGUCGAGGGACCGGCGCACGGGUGAGUAACACGUAUCCAACCUUCCCUUUACUCGGGGAUAGCCUUUCGAAAGAAAGAUUAAUACCCGAUGUAAAGGAUGGGGAUGCGUUCCAUUAGGUUGUUGGUGAGGUAACGGCUCACCAAGCCUUCGAUGGAUAGGGGUUCUGAGAGGAAGGUCCCCCACAUUGGAACAGAGGCACGGUCCAAACUCCUACGGGAGGGAGCAGUGAGGAAGAUUGGGCAAUGGGCGUUAGCCUGAACCAGCCAAGUAGCGGGAAGGAUGAAGGCGUAUGAAUCGUAAACUUCUUGUAUAUAAGAAUAGGUAUUAUAUGAAUAAGGAUCGGCUAACUCCGUGCCAGCAGCCGCGGUAAUUC